UACGUAGGGGGCUAGCGUUGUCCGGAAUCAUUGGGCGUAAAGAGCGUGUAGGCGGCCCGGUAAGUCCGCUGUAAAAGUCAAAGGCUCAACCUUUGAAUGUCAGUGGAUACUGCCGGGCUAGAGUCCGGAAGAGGCGAGUGGAACUCCUGGUGUAGCGGUGGAAUGCGCAGAUAUCAGGAGGAACACCGGCGGCGAAGGCGGCACUCUGGGCCGGUACUGACGCUGAGGAGCGAAAGCGUGGGUAGCAAACAGG
rnacentral:rRNA from 1 species